rnacentral:rRNA from 1 species
GAUGAACGCUGGCGGCGUGCCUAAUACAUGCAAGUCGAGCGAACAGACGAGGAGCUUGCUCCUCUGACGUUAGCGGCGGACGGGUGAGUAACACGUGGAUAACCUACCUAUAAGACUGGGAUAACUUCGGGAAACCGGAGCUAAUACCGGAUAAUAUAUUGAACCGCAUGGUUCAAUAGUGAAAGACGGUUUUGCUGUCACUUAUAGAUGGAUCCGCGCCGCAUUAGCUAGUUGGUAAGGUAACGGCUUACCAAGGCAACGAUGCGUAGCCGACCUGAGAGGGUGAUCCGGCCAACUGGAACUGGAGGCCGGUCCCGGAUCCUAAGGGAGGGCGCCAUAGGGCAUCUUCCACAAAUGGGGGAAACCUGAAGGGACAAAGGCGGGGUGAGGAUGAAAGGCUUCCGGACGGAAAACUCUUUUAAUUGGGAAAGACAAAAGGUGAAGUUACUAAGGAAGUUUUGGCGGGAACCGAUUAGGAAGCCAACGGCAACCACGGU